rnacentral:lncRNA from 1 species
AUAGAGGUGCCAUUAAGGAGAUUCAAUAGAGUACCGCAUCAGUCGGACAGAUGCUAUGAUUUUUUGAUCCGAAAUGGUGAUCCCAUUGAACUUGAUGAGAAUAAUGAGGAUCCGAUCAUCUACAUGGAGGCCAUCCAAAGGCUCGACUAUCAAAAAUAGCUUGAGGCCAUGAAGUCCGAGAUAGAGUCCAUGGAGAUCAAUGGUGUAUGGAUACUAGUUGAUCCAUUCGAAGAGAUAAAACUCAUAAGGUGUAAAUAGAUUUUCAAGAAAAAAAGAGGAGCG